rnacentral:rRNA from 1 species
GAUGAACGCUAGCGGGAGGCCUAACACAUGCAAGCCGAGCGGUAUUGUUUCUUCGGAAAUGAGAGAGCGGCGUACGGUGCGGAACACGUGUGCAACCUGCCUUUAUCUGGGGAUAGCCUUUCGAAAGGAAGAUUAAUACUCCAUAAUAUAUUGAACGGCAUCGUUAAUAUUGAAAGCUCCGGCGGAUAGAGAUGGCACGCGCAAGAUUAGCUAGUUGGUGAGGUAACGGCUCACCAAGGCAAUGAUCUUUAGGGGGCCUGAGAGGGUGAUCCCCACACUGGUACUGAGACACGGACCAGACUCCUACGGGAGGCAGCAGUGAGGAAUAUUGGUCAAUGGGUGCAAGCCUGAACCAGCCAUCCGCGUGAAGGACGAACUGCCCUACUGGGUUGGUAAACUUACCUUUGUUAUUAGGAGUAAACCUAACCUACCGUGAGGUAG